ACAAUAUUUACAAUGUAUUUUGUAUAAUGAACUUGCAUUGCAAAAUGAACCAGCGCUUUAACGAAACCUUGCAAAUUUAAAGACAUUAACGAACACUGUUACCGAGUAUUUGAUAAUUUUUUGUUUGAAACAAGGGGGACGAUCGGUAAAAGUUCGAGUACUAAUCUAUUAAGGUUGACAGUGUAAGCGGUGUUCUUUUUUAAAUUCUGGACCCUAUAUUACUUUCGAAAUCGCGAUACAGCGGCUUGGUUGAUUCUUUGGACGGGGGAUGGAGUGGUUUCUAUUUACAAGAAGAGAGCAUGGAAGAAGGGAAAGAAGGAAAAUUCAUGAGUAAAAAAUUAGAGAAAAAAAAGAGAUUUAAAUCCCGCUUUAUUUCCUUUUUAUAGUCGUUGAAAAAUGAAGGAUAAAAAAAAACCCCUAAUGUAGAAUUUACUACUUGUACCCCAAAAGACAUGUUAUCACUCAUUUA